AACACAUGCAAGUCGCGGGGCAGCAUAGGGUUUUAGCAAUAAAAUUCGGAUGGCGACCGGCGCACGGGUGAGUAACACGUAUCCGACCUGCCCUUUACAAGGGGAUAGUCCUGCGAAAGCGGGUUUAAUACCCUAUGUGGCCUUGAUGUUGCAUGAUAUUGAGGUUAAAGGAGCAAUCCGGUAAAGGAUGGGGAUGCGUUCCAUUAGGUAGUAGGCGGGGUAACGGCCCACCUAGCCUACGAUGGAUAGGGGUUCUGAGAGGAAGGUCCCCCACAUUGGAACUGAGACACGGUCCAAACUCCUACGGGAGGCAGCAGUGAGGAAUAUUGGUCAAUGGGCGGAAGCCUGAACCAGCCAAGUAGCGUGCAGGAUGACGGCCUUCAGGGUUGUAAACUGCUUUUAUGCGGGAAUGAAAUGCGCCACGUGUGGUGUUUUGCAUGUACCGCAAGAAUAAGGACCGGCUAAUUCCGUGCCAGCAGCCGCGGUAAUACGGAAGGUCCGGGCGUUAUCCGGAAUUAUUGGGUUUAAAGGGAGCGUAGGCCGGCUUGUAAGUCAGUUGUGAAAACCGCGGGCUCAACCUGCGGCGUGCAAUUGAAACUGCAGGCCUUGAGUGCGCGCAGGGAUGCUGGAAUUCGUGGUGUAGCGGUGAAAUGCUUAGAUAU
rnacentral:rRNA from 1 species